rnacentral:rRNA from 1 species
GAUGAACGCUGGCGGCGUGCCUAAUACAUGCAAGUCGAGCGAACGGACGAGAAGCUUGCUUUUCUGAUGUUAGCGGCGGACGUGUGAGUAACACGUGGAUAACCUACCUAUAAGACUGGGAUAACUUCGGGAAACCGGAGCUAAUACCGGAUAAUAUUUUGAACCGCAUGGUUCAAAAGUGAAAGACGGUCUUUCUGUCACUUAUAGAUGGAUCCGCGCUGCAUUAGCUAGUUGGUAAGGUAACGGCUUACCAAGGCAACGAUGCAUAGCCGACCUGAGAGGGUGGUCGGCCACCCUGGAACUGAGACACGGUCCAGACGCCUACGGGAGGCAGCAGUAGGGAAUCUUACGCAAUGGGCGAAAGCAUGACGGAGCAACGCCGCGUGAGUGAUGAAGGUCUUCGGAUCGUAAAACUCUGUUAUUAGGGAAGAACAUAUGUGUAAGUAACUGUGCACAUCUUGACGGUACCUAAUCAGAAAGCCACGGCUAACUACGUG